CCGAAGUGGUUCAGGUGUGCAGAAGAGUUAUGGAACAAUGCCCAAGUGAGACUCCAGCCCACUGUCAGAAGGAGCAAGCGGAUCGCCACUGCUCUCCACCAGGAACCUCCUGCUCCGCUUGACCUGUAAGAAGCUGAGUCCCCAGUUUGUGGGGUCCUCCGGAGUGUCAACAAGGACAAAUUUAUUGAACUCACCACUGCAGUUCAUCUGGCAAAGGUUCAGAGACGGAGUGGAGCCGUUGGCACAGAUCACACGGUCGCUCAGCUGAAACAAGCCGUAGAGGGUCCACAUGGUCUCUUCUUCGCUGGUCUCCUCUUCGCUGGAGUCUUCUUUUCUGGAGUCCUCUUUUGAUGGGCUGAACUGAUGACUUUCAGCGCUGGAUGAAUCUCCGUGAGAAUCCCCAGCGUGUCUCUUACCCCUCCUAGUAGUGUGCUCAGGGUUGAAUUUGAAGGCCGCCUCCUCCAAUAAGCUCUUCAGCUCACAUUUUGAGAGGAUCCGUCCCUCAGACAGACUGGGAACCAUCAAGACUGCUACAGCCAACACCAGCAGCAUCUGCAUCUUCAUGUUGUCUCUGUCUGGUCUUUCCUCAAUUGUGAGGGGGAAGACGAGAGUUGCACAGUAGAUAUACUCUUGGCGCCCUAGCCCCUUGAGAGUGACCUUUGACUAAGACUCGUUCUUGUCUCCUUUUUUUAAAAUCCAAGGUAAGGCAAUACAUCUGGCUCUCUGAAAUGGGUCAAAGGACUACCUAAAUGUACCAAAGAUCCACCCAGUGUUGUGUUUCACCAUUCGAUUCAGGCCUCUAGGAAAAUGUGUUACAAAC
ensembl:lncRNA